UACGGAGGGCGCGAGCGUUAAUCGGAAUUACUGGGCGUAAAGCGCGCGUAGGCUGUUGUGUAAGUUGGGGGUGAAAUCCCACGGCUCAACCGUGGAACAGCCCUUGAUACUGCGCGACUUGAAUCCGGGAGAGGGUGGCGGAAUUCCAGGUGUAGGAGUGAAAUCCGUAGAUAUCUGGAGGAACAUCAGUGGCGAAGGCGGCCACCUGGCCCGGUAUUGACGCUGAGGCGCGAAAGCGUGGGGAGCAAACAGG
rnacentral:rRNA from 1 species